rnacentral:pre_miRNA from 1 species
UUUAAACACAAUAAGUUAUCGGGUUAAACUUUGAUCGUCCAUUUUAUUUUUAAAAAAAUUGAUUAAUAUUUUUAUUGUUAUUAUAUGAUAAAAUAUAAAUAGUUUUUUACGUGUGACUUAUGUUUUUUUUAAAAAUAAAACGAACAAUUAAAGCUAGAUAUAGAAACUCAUGACUGCACUUGAA